GGGCGCAUGGCGCAGUUGGUUAGCGCGCCACGUUGACAUCGUGGAGGUCAUAGGUUCGAGUCCUAUUGCGCCCACCA
rnacentral:tRNA from 2 species